rnacentral:lncRNA from 1 species
CCCUUUAAUUAAGUAUGCUUGCUCCUAAUUAAUGUCGACACCCAGCAUAUUUUCUCAACCUAUCUGACCUUCUAGCUAGCACUAGAUGCAUUCAGUUCCCAUGUUUUCCUAGAUGUCUCUAGGUCGAUCGAGAGAAUAGGAAAUUGAUAGUGUAUUGGCUUCCUUUUUGGUUGCCCAGAUUCUACAUUUUAUGAUGAACUGGCAAUUUGUUGUGGUGUGGAAAUUUAUUUCAUAAGUAUAUAUUCCUUAAUUUAAAUAUGGCACCCAGCUUGAAACAAGUAUACUAUUUAUCUGCCCACUUGCAAGAUCCCACUAUUUUUGUGGUUAAUUUUCAAUUGCACUGUCCUAUUAGUUGAGUCAUUUUAUUUGCAGAGCGUAAGUAUUAGCAUGGUCAAUUUUAUUGAGUGUUCAGCUGCCUAACAAUAGGCACCUCAGCUGGCUGAGCGAUGUUUUCUGGAACUACAGUGUCUAUUAAUUCUGUUUUGUGGUUAUUAGUUCAUUUACAGCAUGCGGACCUAUGGUGCUUUUGGAGCUUAAGUGGAGAAAGAUAACAUUAGGUAAGUGCUAAUUUCAAAUUAUUUUUCUGCAUAGUAAGCUAACCUUUAUAAAUGGGGGAAAAAACAAGCUUUUGAAACAUUACUCCAGAUGGUAAAGCACCGUUUCUUUCAUUUUUAUUUUUUGUUCGCCGCACGCUGACAAUCUUUACCUCAAGAAUUGAAGCAUGAUCCGGAUUACUACCUAGAUGCGCUCUACAUAUAACUCCUGCAGAGAACCGUAACCUAAACUUGCUUUUCUUUUGACCUCUGUUUGGGCUCUCCUGUGUAGCCUCAUUCUCUCAUUGAAUUCCACAGUUUGGUUUUGGUGCAGGGAGUGCUUCCAGAUCCAGCGCCUCAAUUUGUUUAAUUUGGUUGCUCUUAUUAGGUGAAUCGUUUCAGAAACCAUGAUCUUCCAUCUGAAAAGAGAACUUAAUAAAUAUCCACAUCUAAUACUGACAUGCAAAUUCAGAUUAUUUUUAAUUUCCUCGCCUACAAUUCAGCUUUGUCCUCACAUAAUUUUCUUUUUAAUACCAUUUGGUUUGGUGCUAUCAGCAUGUUCUUUAUUGUUAUAGUUCAACUCUAAAUUGUCAUUUCUCUUGAAGCUAUAUUGCAUUUUCAGUUCCUUCUAUUUACUUAUGUUUUUUUUUUUGCAUUAAAAUUAUUGGUACUGCUGUUUCCAGUUCACAUGCUUCCUUGUUUUCUUUUCUUUUCCUGAUUGCAUAUCAACCAUGUAGACAAUAUUAUGCAGUCAUAUGACUAUGCUUCUGAAACUUAGUUGAGUUUGUCGUCUCAUAAGAAGCGAAUUCCUUCGGUUUAAUUAAUUCCUUACUCUCUUUUUUACUGCAUUAAGACUGGAGAUGUAUUUUGUUGCACAUUUCCUUUUUUUGCGAUUGCAUAUCAACCACGUAAUUAUAUAUAUGAAGUCAUAUAUGCAGUCCCCUGCAUAUAUGAUCAUGCUUUUUUUUGAAAAUUGAUAGGUUUCUCCUCAUAAAAGGGGGCAAAUAUGGGAGAUGUUAGCCUUCUAUAGCUUUAGGUUGAGUCCGUGACCCCUCCCCAACAAGCAAAUUGACAUAAAUCAGAAAGCAAUGCAGCAUAUGUCGAUCUUGCAUUGUGACCAAUUAAGGAUUACA